rnacentral:misc_RNA from 1 species
UGAGUGGGCCGAAACGGCCUCUAUUCAUCAAGCCCGUGGAUGAAGCCAGUGCUUUGGCGCUUUGGCGUCGAGCUUCAAAUGCUUUAUUGACCUAUUUGCGUCCGGGGAAAUAUUGAGACUCA